rnacentral:rRNA from 1 species
AUUGAACGCUGGCGGAAUGCUUUUCACAUGCAAGUCGAACGGCAGCACGGACUUCGGUCUGGUGGCGAGUGGCGAACGGGUGAGUAACAUAUCGGAACGCAUCCAAUAAUGGGGGAUAACUAAUCGAAAGGUUGGCUAAUACCGCAUACGCCCUACGGGGGAAAGCAGGGGAUCUUCGGACCUUGCGAUAAUGGAGCGGCUGAUAUCUAAUUAGCUAGUUGGUGAGGUAAAGGCUCACCAAGGCGACGAUCAGUAGCUGGUCUGAGAGGACGGCCAGCCACACUGGAACUGGGACACGGUCCAGACUACUACGGGGGGCAGCAGUGGGGAAUUUUGGACAAUGGGCGCAAGCCUGCUCCAGCCAUUCCGCGUGAGUGAAGAAGGCCUUCGGGUUGUAUAGCUCUUUCGCAAGGGAAGAAAACUUACGUUCUAAUAAAGAGUGAGGUUGACGGUACCUUGAUAAGAAGCACCGGCUAACUACGUGCCAGCCGCCGCCGUAA